UCACUGUGAUGAUUGUUCAUAACCAUUCGCAGUUUCCACCAGAAGGGUCUUCCCCUGUGUUGGCUAAAUCUUCCUUGGAUGUCUGAGUGA